rnacentral:ncRNA from 1 species
CGCAUCAGCGCUCAGGCAUUUGCGGAACCAAAACCGCAAAAGUGAUGCGGCAUUCCAAGAAGUUUCGGUGCUAUCGCAAACGGCGAAAGCCUGCCAGAUGUAUAGGGUAAACAAAUUUGGACAGAGACUGGUGGAAAUAGCACUUCCACCGGUCUUUU